AGAUUAAGUUAUUAAGGGCGCACGGUGGAUGCCUUGGCACUAGAAGCCGAAGAAGGACGUUACUAACGACGAUAUGCUUUGGGUAGCUGUAAGUAAGCGUUGAUCCAGAGAUUUCCGAAUGGGGGAACCCAACAUGAGUUAUGUCAUGUUAUCGACAUGUGAAUUCAUAGCAUGUCAGAAGGCAGACCCGGAGAACUGAAACAUCUUAGUACCCGGAGGAAGAGAAAGAAAAAUCGAUUCCCUGAGUAGCGGCGAGCGAAACGGGAAGAGCCCAAACCAACAAGCUUGCUUGUUGGGGUUGUAGGACACUCUAUACGGAGUUACAAAAGAACAUGUUAGACGAAUCAUCUGGAAAGAUGAAUCAAAGAAGGUAAUAAUCCUGUAGUCGAAAACAUAUUCUCUCAUGAGUGGAUCCUGAGUACGACGGAGCACGUGAAAUUCCGUCGGAAUCUAGGAGGACCAUCUCCUAAGGCUAAAUACUCUCUAGUGACCGAUAGUGAACCAGUACCGUGAGGGAAAGGUGAAAAGUACCCCGGAAGGGGAGUGAAAGAGAACUUGAAACCGUGUGCUUACAAGUAGUCAGAGCCCGUUUAUGGGUGAUGGCGUGCCUUUUGUAGAAUGAACCGGCGAGUUACGAUCUGAUGCAAGGUUAAGCAGCGAAUGUGGAGCCGUAGCGAAAGCGAGUCUGAAUAGGGCGUUGAGUAUUUGGUCGUAGACCCGAAACCAGGUGAUCUACCCUUGGUCAGGUUGAAGUUCAGGUAACACUGAAUGGAGGACCGAACCGACUUACGUUGAAAAGUGAGCGGAUGAACUGAGGGUAGCGGAGAAAUUCCAAUCGAACUUGGAGAUAGCUGGUUCUCUCCGAAAUAGCUUUAGGGCUAGCCUCAAGUGAUGAUUAUUGGAGGUAGAGCACUGUUUGGACGAGGGGCCCCUCUCGGGUUACCGAAUUCAGACAAACUCCGAAUGCCAAUCAAUUUAACUUGGGAGUCAGAACAUGGGUGAUAAGGUCCGUGUUCGAAAGGGAAACAGCCCAGACCACCAGCUAAGGUCCCAAAAUAUAUGUUAAGUGGAAAAGGAUGUGGCGUUGCCCAGACAACUAGGAUGUUGGCUUAGAAGCAGCCAUCAUUUAAAGAGUGCGUAAUAGCUCACUAGUCGAGUGACACUGCGCCGAAAAUGUACCGGGGCUAAACAUAUUACCGAAGCUGUGGAUUGUCCUUCGGACAAUGGUAGGAGAGCGUUCUAAGGGCGUUGAAGCAUGAUCGCAAGGACAUGUGGAGCGCUUAGAAGUGAGAAUGCCGGUGUGAGUAGCGAAAGACGGGUGAGAAUCCCGUCCACCGAUUGACUAAGGUUUCCAGAGGAAGGCUCGUCCGCUCUGGGUUAGUCGGGUCCUAAGCUGAGGCCGACAGGCGUAGGCGAUGGAUAACAGGUUGAUAUUCCUGUACCACCUAGUAUCGUUUUAAUCGAUGGGGGGACGCAGUAGGAUAGGCGAAGCGUGCUGUUGGAGUGCACGUCCAAGCAGUAAGGCUGAGUGUUAGGCAAAUCCGGCACUCGUUAGGCUGAGCUGUGAUGGGGAGAGGAAAUUGUUUCCUUGAGUCGUUGAUUUCACACUGCCGAGAAAAGCCUCUAGAUAGAUAACAGGUGCCCGUACCGCAAACCGACACAGGUAGUCAAGAUGAGAAUUCUAAGGUGAGCGAGCGAACUCUCGUUAAGGAACUCGGCAAAAUGACCCCGUAACUUCGGGAGAAGGGGUGCUCUUUAGGGUUCACGCCCAGAAGAGCCGCAGUGAAUAGGCCCAAGCGACUGUUUAUCAAAAACACAGGUCUCUGCUAAACCGUAAGGUGAUGUAUAGGGGCUGACGCCUGCCCGGUGCUGGAAGGUUAAGAGGAGUGGUUAGCUUCUGCGAAGCCACGAAUCGAAGCCCCAGUAAACGGCGGCCGUAACUAUAACGGUCCUAAGGUAGCGAAAUUCCUUGUCGGGUAAGUUCCGACCCGCACGAAAGGCGUAACGAUUUGGGCACUGUCUCAACGAGAGACUCGGUGAAAUCAUAGUACCUGUGAAGAUGCAGGUUACCCGCGACAGGACGGAAAGACCCCGUGGAGCUUUACUGUAGCCUGAUAUUGAAAUCCGGCACAGCUUGUACAGGAUAGGUAGGAGCCAUUGAAACGUGAGCUCUAGCUUACGUGGAGGCGUUGGUGGGAUACUACCCUAGCUGUGUUGGCUUUCUAACCCGCACCACUUAUCGUGGUGGGAGACAGUGUCAGGCGGGCAGUUUGACUGGGGCGGUCGCCUCCUAAAAGGUAACGGAGGCGCUCAAAGGUUCCCUCAGAAUGGUUGGAAAUCAUUCACAGAGUGUAAAGGCAUAAGGGAGCUUGACUGCGAGACCUACAAGUCGAGCAGGGUCGAAAGACGGACUUAGUGAUCCGGUGGUUCCGCAUGGAAGGGCCAUCGCUCAACGGAUAAAAGCUACCCCGGGGAUAACAGGCUUAUCUCCCCCAAGAGUUCACAUCGACGGGGAGGUUUGGCACCUCGAUGUCGGCUCAUCGCAUCCUGGGGCUGUAGUCGGUCCCAAGGGUUGGGCUGUUCGCCCAUUAAAGCGGUACGCGAGCUGGGUUCAGAACGUCGUGAGACAGUUCGGUCCCUAUCCGUCGUGGGCGUAGGAAAUUUGAGAGGAGCUGUCCUUAGUACGAGAGGACCGGGAUGGACAUACCUCUGGUGUACCAGUUGUCGUGCCAACGGCAUAGCUGGGUAGCUAUGUAUGGACGGGAUAAGUGCUGAAAGCAUCUAAGCAUGAAGCCCCCCUCAAGAUGAGAUUUCCCAACUUCGGUUAUAAGAUCCCUCGAAGAUGACGAGGUUAAUAGGUUCGAGGUGGAAGCGUGGUGACACGUGGAGCUGACGAAUACUAAUCGAUCGAAGACUUAAUCAAU
rnacentral:rRNA from 1 species